rnacentral:rRNA from 1 species
GAUGAACGCUAGCUACAGGCUUAACACAUGCAAGUCGAGGGGUAACGAGAGGAAAGCUUGCUUUCCUUGUCGACGACCGGCGCACGGGUGAGUAACGCGUAUCCAACCUGCCCCCAACUAGGGAAUAACCUUGCGAAAGUAAGACUAAUACCCUAUAAUUUCCUCAGAUGUCAUCUGACGAGGAAUAAAGAUUUAUCGGUUGUGGAUGGGGAUGCGUCUGAUUAGCUUGUUGGCGGGGUAACGGCCCACCAAGGCAACGAUCAGUAGGGGUCCUGAGAGGAAGGUCCCCCACAUUGGAACUGAGACACGGUCCAAACUCCUAUGGGAGGCAGCAGUGAGGAAUAUUGGUCAAUGGGCGGAAGCCUGAACCAGCCAAGUAGCGUGCAGGAUGACGGCCCUAUGGGUUGUAAACUGCUUUUAUACAGGAAUAAAGUUAGCCACGUGUGGUCAUUUGUAGGUACUGUAUGAAUAAGGACCGGCUAAUUCCGUGCCAGCCGCCGCCGUAA